CUAUGAUUCUAUGAUUCUAAAUGUGACUGUUACCUCACAGCUGUUCAUCUGCUGUCAAUAGUCCCAUCAACUCCACUGCUGCCUCAAAUUCUUUGUUCCGUACACACAAAAAAGGCAGCUCUGAAGUCUAUAGAGCAAUCGUAGCUGCAGAUUUGUGUGUGCCUGCAUGUGCACGACAUGUGUGCAUGUGCAUGCAGCAGGAGAGCCAGCAGCAGAGGGCAAGGAGGGACAGCAUUUCGUUGCUGCUGCUAAAAGAAGCCUGAAACAAAUGCAGUGAACUCUGCGUUCCAGCAUACAGCUGUGUAAACUAAAACUGCAGGCCUGUUCUCGUGUGGCCAGUUACUUACAGAAAACAAGUGAGGCAGCUUUCUCGAGGGACUUGAAGAGGAAGGUGGUUGAAUGACAAAGGAGAAAGAGAAUGGUUCAAGGAAGAAGGAAAAGGCUGGUGAGGAGAUGGCUCAGGAGCAGGGAACCAUCAGGUUUUUACCCAAAAGAGCAUGUUGAAUUAUAAGCAUAUAGUAAUGGAAGACAAGAAGAAACACAAUGAGUGGGUUUAUUGCAUCUAGAUGUAGAUAACUAUGGGAUGAACAUCCCCAGCUGCCCUAAUUGCCAACUGUUUUUAUAGUCACUACUAAAGGUCGGUCUUCCUGUGGCCAGAUUCAUCUUUCCACCACUUCCCUUGUUAGCAGCCAGCACUAAUGGGAAAAAGAGAGCAGGGUUUGUGAACGACUGUCUCUGAGAAACCUCCCACAGUGACAAAGCUGACACGAGGAAACAUCAGCUUUCUGCUUUAGUACAAGCAGAAUGGAGCUCAGCUAGCAUCCCUUGUGCUUGCACGUAGAUGAGCAAGUCUACUAAUGAGACAUCUGCACAGCCCUCCCCUCACUUCCUUUUGGUUUGAUUCCAACUGCCAGAGCUACAGCUCUGUGAGUUAACUGAAGAAUGGUGAUGAUGGAUUUAACUAUCCCAAACACUACCAGGGCAUUUCCCAAAGAUGAUGUCAACUGUGCUGUAAUUAUUAAAAGAGCAACUGUUCCAUACAAGCAGUUUAAUGUGAGACUUAUGGGUCACAGACUAUGAGAGUCCAGAGUAUUUAAAGCACGAGGGAAAAUACACUUGAAAAAAUCCAUUUUGAAUCAACUAAUUUUAAACCCCACAGGGACUAAAGUAAUUUAGCCAUUAAUUCCCAUAGCACUAACAUUAAAGUACUGUUCCCAGCUGAAAAUGUACAUUGCUG